CGCAUUUCUUGUAAUCAAAUUACUAGCCUAACUUUAUUGGGUAAACAGAGAAAAACAAGAAUAAUAACAAAAACUAAUGCAAAUAAACAUAAUAUAGUACAAUAUGAUAUAACUCUUUUAACAUUUACAAGAUCAAAUUUAUUAACAUGUUACGUUUUUAAUAGUUUCUUUUAUCUUUUUUUUUAUUUAUUUAUUUUAUUUUAUUUUUUUUUUAUUUAUUUUUUUUUUUUUUUUGUUUAAAAAUGUUUUUUUUUAUAUUAAAAAAUUUUGAAAAAAAUUUUUUAAAAUUUUUUUUUUUUUUUUUUUUUUUUUUCUAUUUUUUGACGUCACAUAAUGUAAUAAUAAAUUGUAAAAACAGUAGAACAAAUGCUCUACACAACCCUAACUUAUAUCAACAUAUCUACUCCGUUAUAAGUAAGGAUAUUAAAUUAAAAAAUAAAAAUGAAUACACAAAGGUAGUAGAAGAUGGGUUGAAAAUGUAUGAACAGGUUAAGAAUAAAACGAAGGUGUACUAUCUGCCUCUUAUUUUAGAGUGCUAUAAAAAAGGAGAUGACUUAAUGGGGGAGAAUAGUUCAAAAAGAGAGGCUAUCACAGUAAAAAAGACAGCACCUGAAAAAGCGAUAGCAUCGGAAAAAGCGACAGCAUUGGAAGGAGAGACAGCAUCCGAAAAAGCUGACCAUACGCAAGUUACUCAUCCUAUGGAACAAACUAUUUUUGAAUAUCUCGAAGACAAUUUAAAUCCAAUAAAAAACAAAAUGGAAAAGUUUGUUAAAUAUCUGAACAAAUCAGAUUAUAUUAUCAUACCAAUAAAUUAUAAUGACAUAUUAAAUAAACAUAUACUUGAUAUAAAUUCUUUUAAUAAUUUUAUUAAUAUACUAGAUUUUAUAUUUAUUACAGACCAACAAGAAAAUGUUUUUUAUAAUAUCAUUUUUUUUAUUUAUAAUUAUGACAACUCUUAUUUAUUUGAUUCAUUUGACAAAAAUAUAAAAAAUGAAAAAGAAGAAAUUAUUAACGUGUUCAGGAGAUUUUUGAAAACACAUUGGGAUAAAAAGUAUGAAAAGUAUGUUAAAGAUUUUUUUUUUUUUGAAACAAAUGGAUAUAUAGAUAUGGAGAAGGUAUCAACAGAGUUCGAUUUCGUGGUGAAAAAUGGUAGUAGUAGUAGUAGUAGUAGUAGUAGUAGUAGUAGUAGUGCUAGAAGUAGCAACAGUCCUUACAAUAUCAGUGAAGAUAAUAAUCAGUUAAAACCCAUUUCUACAAGUAAAAACAUAAAAAACAACUAUGUUUUAUUUGGUAAGUACAAAAAAGAUAUAUUAAAAAACAUAUCCAAAGAAAAUUAUUUUUUUUAUAACUUUAUUUCAAAAAUAAAAAUAGACAUGUUACAAGAAUAUAUGCAAGAAAUAAGCGACUCUGUUCGCUUAACUAAAUCGUUAAAUAACAUCAAUGAAAUAGAUAUAAAAAAAACAAGUAAACUGAUUGAUAAUUUAUUAAAAAAAUUUGAAAAUAUUAAAUUAAAUAAAAAAUAUAUAAAAAAUGCACAUAACUUAAAUUUAAUUAAAAAAAAACAACAAAUAUAUUUUCUUCAUAUUAUACUAACUGAUUUAAUUGAAAAGUAUGAAUAUAAUUUAGAAAAUGUGAAAAAUUAUUUAUAUCAAAUAUAUAAAGAAAAUAUAAAAAAAAUUAAAAUAAAUUCAGACAUGGUUAACGAAUUUAAAAAAGAAAUAAAUUAUAUUAAUAAUAUGUUUGAUUAUUAUAACUCAAAAAUAUCUUUUUUAGAAUAUCUUAAUUUUAUAGAUAAAGAUAAACAACAUUUAAAAAACGAUUCAGAUAUAUAUAUAAAAAAAUAUUCAUAUAUUUAUUCUUACCAUAAACUUAAUUUAUUACAAAUAUUAAACGAAAUAGCAAAUGAAAUAAUAAAUUUAUAUAUAUCAAAAGGUUUAUACGUUCGUAAUUAUAAUUAUUUUAACUCUCCUUUUUUUUUUAAAAAGUAUUCUCUUUUGAAUUAUAUAAUCGACUAUAUAGCACAACUUUCAAAAAAUAGAAUAAAUUUAAGUUUUAAUUAUUUAUCUACAAAUGCGUUUGGUUUGUCCUCUUAUAAAGAUGAUAUAUCCUUAUCGCCAAAAAAAGAUCUUAUGAUAACUACAAGCGAAAUAGAUCAAGUGGAGAAAAUGUAAACAUAAGGAAAAAA
rnacentral:lncRNA from 1 species